AGAAAUGGAAGUGUAACUAUGGUGUUGGCUCGGCUCACUCAGAAGUUGAAGCCGAAUCCAAAUGGUAGCUGCCGGCGUUUCUGAUUGAGCCGUGCCAAUAUCUCAGUACUCUUUCAUGCUG
rnacentral:pre_miRNA from 1 species